UUUCUUUGUUUAAUUCCAGGUCAAGUUAUCUGUCUGCAAACACGAUAUUCCUUACAUGAACAGUACACAUGAAACCAAUGCAUAAAAACAAACCACAUUCAUGGGUCUCGUAUUACUCUUGGGCUGGUGUCAUGUGAUCCGUCAGAACAUGAAAAUGAAUAGACGCUGAUCUUUAAUUCUCAGUCGUGGUCAUGAGAUACCCAUGAGAAUUGUUAUGUGUGUCAAUUUAGUUAAUGCCCAACUUACUUCUCAGGUGUCACAUGUUUAACAAAGGAAAACACUUUGUGAUACCAGCGAAUAGCAGUUUUUAACACAUUUUCCUAGAGGCCUGAAUCGAAUGGUGAAACACAACACUGGGUGGAUCUUUGGUACAUUUAGGUAGUCCUUUGACCCAUUUCAGAGAGCCAGCUUUAUUGCCUUAACUUGGAUAAACAUUUUUAAAAAGACAAGAACGAGUCUUUGUCAAAGGUCACUCUCAAGGGGCUAGGGCGCCAAGAGUAUAUCUACUGUGCAACUCUCGUCUUCCCCCUCACAAUUGAGGAAAGACCAGACAGAGACAACAUGAAGAUGCAGAUGCUGCUGGUGUUGGCUGUAGCAGUCUUGAUGAUUCCCAGUCUGUCUGAGGGACGGAUCCUCUCAAAAUGUGAGCUGAAGAGCUUAUUGGAGGAGGCGGCCUUCAAAUUCAACCUGACUGAGAAAGCCAGAGAGAAUUAUGUGACAAACAAGGACUUUGUGGCUAAAAUCGUCUGCCAUGUAGAGAAGGCCACAGGUUUCAACACCAGUUUUGUGACUCCUUGGAGGGAUGAUGAUGGCCCUGAUGACAGCCCUACCCACCCUGCUAAGGAUGAUAACCGCUCGACCCAUCCUACCCACCCUGAGCACCCUCCUAGGAGGGGUAAGAGACACGCUGGGGAUUCUCACGGGGAUUCAUCCAGCGCUGAAAGUCAUCAGUUCAGCUCAUCAAAAGAAGACUCCAGUGAAGAAGACUCCAGUGAAGAAGAGACCAUGUACCUCUACGGCUUGUUUCAGCUGAGCGAUCAUGUGAUCUGUGCCAACGGCUCCACUCCGUCUCUGAACCUUUGCCAGAUAAACUGCAGUGAUUUGAUUGACGACGACAUAAGUGAUGACUUGGACUGUGUGGAGACAAUCAAACAGACAGUGUAAGCGUUUGGUUUUGAGGUUGAUGUUUUUUGUACAUUUUCUUAUUGUGUUAAUAUACUGUCUGCAAGUGCAGCAAUUCUUACUAACUUUUGGAUUGUCCUUUUUUCGUUUAAACAGGGAAAGUGGGCCUGGUGAUCAUAAAAGGGCUCUAAUGAGAAUGUAAGUAUGCAAAUGCAAAAUGUAUGUUUUAAAUUUUAAACAGAAAUCUAUUUUAUUUCCAUCAUGUUGAAUUGAAAUUGGUUGGCAUUCAAUGUUUAAACGUGUGAAAAAUUAUAUUAGAAUGUCACUUUAGGAUGUCCUUUAGUGAUUUUUUUGCGAGUACCUCUAGGGGUGUAACUGAACAUGGAAAUGUAAAUGCUUUCUGAGGUAAUUAUUAAUAUUGUUUUAAUGAUCCUUAUAGGUUUAAGCUGCUCUUCCAGAAGGAAUGUGUCAUGACGGUUGCCUCUAGCUACUUUUCCGAGUGUUGAAUGAGAAGCCAUGUAAGAUGACAACCCCCCAAAAGUGUAUUUUGCACACUAAUCGUUCACUCUCUAAACAAUACAUUGAGUUACAUAGGGUGAAUUUACACAGGCAGCCCAAUUCGAAGCUUUUGCCCAAUUAUUAACCAAUUGCAAAAAAAGACCAAUGCCAAAAGAUCAUAAUUGAGCUUCCUGUGUAAAUGCAGCCAUGGUGUGUAACAAUUCGUUCUCAUCAGCCUCUUUUUCACAAAGUACACCAAAAUAGAAUGUAUGUAGAAAGAAUAAAGUUUAACAGUAUAUUUCUUUGGUUUGUUUAAUUAUUUUGUGUUGUUGUUGUUGAUGUGAACACCUGCACCUACUUUUAAAUGCAAUUGGGAUAAAUAUAUAGCAGGUUAAAGCAAGGCAUACCUUGGACUAAACACUGGGAUAAACUAAACAGGAAGAGGGUUUACUCCGCCCAAAAUCUGUUCACGAAAAUAAGACCAUGAUGUGAGGAAUUUUUGUAUGGAAGUCAAUGAGAGUGUAAAAUUUGAUCAACAGAAAAUGUAAUUACUAAUUUGCUACGUGAGUCUUACAGUGGAUAUCAUAAGUAUUCACCAACCUUUGAUUUUUUUUAGAUUGUGUUGCAUUACAAAGUGGGAUUGAAAUGGAUUUAAUUGUGAUUUUUUUUGUCAUUGAUCUAAAAAAAUAUUACUCCAUAAUGUCAAAGUGAAAAGAAAAUUCUACAGUUUACAA
rnacentral:lncRNA from 8 species